rnacentral:rRNA from 1 species
CAGUCGCCGCGGGAAUACGUAGGGUGCGAGCGUUAAUCGGAAUUACUGGGCGUAAAGCGUGCGCAGGCGGUUCGUUAAGACAGAUGUGAAAUCCCCGGGCUUAACCCAUAGCCUGCAUCGAAAACUGUCGGGCUUGAGUAUGGGAGAGGUGAGUGGAAUUUCCGGUGUAGCGGUGAAAUGCGUAGAUAUCGGAAGGAACACCUGUGGCGAAAGCGGCUCACUGGACCGACACUGACGCUGAGGCGCGAAAGCGUGGGGAGCAAACAGGAUUAGAUACCCGAGUAGUCCCUGUCUCUUAUAC